CAUCCCAAUGAAGAGUUAUAUAAAAAUUAAAAGUAGUGGACUGAAUUUCUAUUGAUGAGCAAUGGAUUCUGAGGGGUG